rnacentral:lncRNA from 1 species
UGAUUUGGCUUUUACCAGUAGUUAUGUAUUAACCUUAUAUAUUUUAUAGUAAUAACAUUAUACGUUUUAAGAAUGGACAUUAUGAAUUUUAGGUAAUAACUCACAUAGAUAUAAUAUAUUUAUGAAUAUGUUAUUGUUUCUUAUACAACCCACUUAACAGUCAGCCUAUACAGAAGAAAUAACAAUUAUUUACAUAUUAUUUUUGUAAUACAUAUCAUGUUCUUUUACACAUAUACAUGACUCAUUUAUAUAUAUUAUUAUAGGACCAUAUUUUUUGAUACAUGUUGUUUCUAAUAAAAUAAUUAUGUUUUUUCAUUAUACAUUCGAAUACAUGCAAUUAAUCUCUUAUGUAAUAUGUUGUACUUAUAAAAGUGGCUUAUCAUUAAGCAUAUACAUACUAUCCAUAUGAGUAACACCCUUAUGCAUCACAUCAAACAUGUAUAAGUAACACAUGUUAUCAUUCAGCCGUUUCAAUUAUAUGCUUCGAAUCUAAGUGAACUUCACCAGCUUAUGGCAUAACUUCUUACGACGCGUAACUAAAAAAACUAGAGUUACAGAUAGUAAACGUCUAUAAAAUUUAAAUAUUAAGUAAAAGCAAAAAGAUUAACAAAUAAAUAGAAAUUAAGAUUAAUGAAACAAGUUUAAAUAUAUUCCAAAUUCAUUACAUCAUAAUGAAACUGUUUAUUGAAAAUUCAAAACUGUUCAAACUAAUAAAAAUGAAAAGAACGAGCCAAUAUCAUUGGUUCCUGAUAUGUAUAAAAAAAUGCAAUUUUCAAGUCUCCUUUGUAGAAAAAUCACAAAUGCAUCUGUUGUGACCUGCACGACUGCAUCUACUACAACAGUUUGAGCUUGAUGCAAAAGAUACACUUAAUUUUUUACACCUCCCUUUAUUUGACCUUCCUGGCAGUCAAGUGUAUUUUGGUAGUAAUACUUCUUCAUUUUUAAAUAAUUUAGGCACAUAUCAAUCCUUCAUAUCUAGCAUCGAAAUAAUUGAAAAUUCAGACGUCUUAACUAUAGAAUUGGAUUUGUAAUUUGAGCAAUAAGGAUCAAAGUCAUCUACAUUUCUAUUCAUCACCGCAAUUACGUGAGGAUAGAAAAUUUCAUAAAUUGAUACCAUCCACAAUUGCACAUUUCACGAUCAAGAUCGACAAUAUACCUUCUACCAGAUGUAAUAGCCUUAACCUGAUAAACAUACAAGGAACAAUACAUAUAAUAAAUUAACUGCAUCCUCAAGUAUUUUUUUCAAUAAAAUAAAUCUAUUAAUGAAAUUUUAUGUCAUACCAUCAUUCGUGAAGCUUUUGCACCAUUGAGAGUCAGAAUGUCCUCAAAUUUUUUUCCUAAGAUUUUUUUGGUAUACGAUGCAAUUUCCGUAUUUUUAGAGUUUCAUGCUCCAAAUAAAAUUCUUGCUUCUUCGAGAAAUUCUAAAAUAGGCAGUUCACAUGCCUCUACCAAGCAACCAUUUAUACAUUCAACAAUACUAGAAGUCAUCAUCUUACUUCUAUUUAUCAGUGAAUAACAUUGAGAUCAUUUUUCAUAACCAGCUUCUUCUAGGUAAUUAUUAAUUCUAUGACCCACCUUAGCAACCUUUACCAUAAGGUAAUCGAAAUGCUCUUUUCUAUAAGCUUUCGCCAUAGAAUAAUAAAGGACACUAAGUCUAUCGUUGUUUUUGCGAAAAUGAGUGCAGACGUUCUUCUACAAGUGUCAAAUACAUGCUAGAUGGAGGACAUUAGGAGACACAAUACUCACACUUUUUAUGAUGCUUUCAUUCCGAUUCGAUACAACAUAUAUGUUGUCCCGUUUCUGAAAUACAUCCCUAAACUGCUGAAAAAAUUAUAUUCACGAACAGUCAUUCUCAGAAUCUACAACCCUGUAAGUUAUUGACAAAAUACAACCUAAUUAAAAAAAAUAAAAAGAAAGUAACAAUAGACAUCAUGCUCUCCAACAAUAAUAACGUAUAAGAUAUAAUUAAAAUGAAAACACACACUGCCAAAAAUAUUGAAUAAUUUCCAAAGAUAUAAUCAAAGGAGUAACAAGUCUAACUAAUACCUUCACCAUCGAGUGUGUUUACCGAAAGGAAAGUUUCUUUGUACGGUUGCUCAAAUGAGCACCGUAAACCACUAUCACAGGUCUAUAAAAUUGAAAAUCCUGUCUCAUGGGAUGUAAUACAAUAAGCAAAUAAUUGAACUCAUUGUCCGCUGCCUUAUGCAUCCUAAUGUGAGAGUCAGGAUACACUGUGUUCAACAUAUGAAUGUAUCAUGUUAUUUUCGAUAUCCAUCAGCUGGACCACCUCUAAACAUUGCUAUUGCCCGCUCUUUUAUGUUAUGUCUACAUGUAAUUAAUAUCAACUCUAUAAACAACUUUCGUUUCUUCAAUUAUGUCGACUGGGUGUUAUUCUCUUACGAUUAAUUAACUUCGGCGCUAUAAAUUCACUCACAAAAACUGUUGUAGCCAACAAUUUUUUUAGAAUUCUAUCACUGACUCGACAAGUAUGUUAGGAAUCAAACUGCAAAAUCAUAAAAACAUUCAAUUUAUGUAGAGAAGAUGCCUUCAAAUUCAUUUGUAAUCUUCAUUACGACAAUGAAGUACAUAGCUGAAGCAAAUUUAAUCUGAAUAUUUAAUUUCAUAUAUAUCACAUAGACAUGUUUAAGUUUGUUUUUUAUCAACACUGUAUACAUUAACAGUUUCACAUACAUAACAACUUCAUGCAGGGCGAGCCCACGUGUAAUUUUGGGGUGCUUUGGCACCCACUAAACUUGAUGUGGAUUAGAUAUAAUUAUAUAAGAAACACAUAAUAAAUGAUAUAAUUUAUUAAAAAGCACCCAGAGAACAAACAUAUGGUUGGGUGCAGUGGCUUGAGGAUGUGACUUCUAUCUCUAGCUUUUCGAGUUCGAAUCCCUACAGCUACAUACUAUUUUUUAUAAAUUUUUUUGAGCACCCACAACCUUGAAUUCCUGGAUCUACCACUGACUUUAUGUAUAAGUAAGCCUUAUGAAUAACAGUAUUAAACCACGAAAAUGCAAUAUACAAAAUGUUUGAUGUAUAAGAAAGUCAUUAUACAAAGACAACUAGUUAUAAGAUCUAACAUAAAGGAAUACGUCAUCAACUUCUACAUACAUAACAACUUUAUUUUUUGAUAUUCCUUAUACAUAACAGAAUUAAACCAGUGCAAUCAUAUACAUAAUGUUUGAUGUAUAAGAAAGUCUUAACCAAAGGACAUCUAUAUAUAAAGUUUAUUUUUUUUUACAUAAAUGUAUUAUUCAGCGGGUUCCUCAUACAUAACAACUUUUCUUAAGAUGUUCAUUAGACACAAUAAGUUAAACCACUGCAAUCAUAUACAUAAUGCAAGAUUUACUAAAAACUUCAAAACACAAAGAGAUCUACAUACAAGGUUCAUAAAAAAAUGCAUCUAUCAGCUCAUGAAUAACACUGUCAAACAACUAAACAUAUUUUGCAAAUCAGCUUAAUGUGUAUGUUAAAAGAUUUAACGAAUAAAAAACAACAAUCUUAUCACAUGUUGCUAUGUAAACAAUUUCGUAUCAUACCUCACUUUAUUAGAACGUUUAGCUCUGAAAUUAAAGUCAUUCGCUAAUGCGUAUUUCACCAUUACAGCAACUAGAGUUGUUUUAUCCUUAUAAAGUUGUUCAACCUUUAUUUCUGUAUUCUUGCUAUCAGUAAUGAAAUUUUUUACUUCAAACUCUAAUAUAUAUAUAUAUAUAUAUAUAUAAAACAAAUACUGAUUUUAUGAUUCUACAACGGACAGAGCAAGAGCGUCAGUUUAUGUUCCUUCAACACUAGCUCCAUUUUAACGGUCAAACUGUAACUCUUCUUUUGACUUAUUCAAUGUUGAUAUGCACAAAGAAUAAGUUACAAAUCCUAAAAAACUUUUCUUUAACUCUACAUACACCCUCACUCCAUUAUCAUAAUAAUAGGUGAAGAAUUAUCUUCCACGACAUAACUGACAUCUAUUUUUUUCUAGAUUCAUCAAUAUCUAGUUCUGAUACAAUCGUCGAGAUCAACCUAAAAAAAUGAGAUACUUUCUGCAACAACAAUACCAUCACUUUUUUAGAGUUCAUAUAUUAUUUCGAUUGUCAAAUACCGAAAUGCCUUAACAAAAUUGUGAUGUUCAUAUUGUUGUUAGAUUUUGACGAAAAAUAAAGCUUUAACAACAUGAAGAACAAUUGAUCGGGAAUACAGAUUGAUAAUGCCUUAAAUGUCAUUAUCCAUCAGAUUGAUCUUAUAGAUAGAAGAGAUAAUGCUAUUAAUCUUUUUUGUAAAUGUCAUAAAUGUCAUUAUCCAACAAUACCAUCACUUUUUUAGAGUUCAUCCUUUGAUAUCAAGGAAUGCUAUUAAUCUUUUUUUGUAAUUUUUUGAGAUUUUUUUUUUUAAAUUCUCAUUUAUAAAUUUAUAAAAUACUAUCAAUUAAUGAUACUAAAUAAUUUAUAGAAUAUUAAAGAUAAUGAAAUUUAAUUUCUUUUAUCAUCAAUGAUAUUAAUUCUUUUUCUAAAACUUUUUGAAUUUCUUGAUUUACAUUGCAUAUUUUUCUUUCUCCAAUUUCGUAAUCAAUGUUAUAUAUACCAUUUUCUUAAAUAAUUUUUUUUUUAUAAAAAAAAAAAUUAAAUUUAUAUCUAUAUAAAUCUAUAUAUCUUUAUAGAAUUUGGAUAUAGACAUGUUGACGUGAUGUCUUUUAUGAAUCCAUUUAGUUAGGAGUUUACUACUGAAGUGAAUUAACAUGCAAAAAUUUGACAAAAAAAAGAGAAAAAUGUUGAUCUCUACUUCUCCCUUAACUGCAACUUACAUCUCAUUUAAACCCAUUAAACUUCUUUAAUUGCGUACUAAAUAAUCCAGUUAACCAUAAAUAUAUUCUUCUUUUGCCAAAUUCAGAACAAGGGUAGAAGGUAAAUGUAUUGUUAUGUCUUGAUUUGCAAUUAAAGAGGCAACUAAACAAUUUAAACAUAAAUGAUAUCUUUUAUUGCAAUUUAUAUAUAAUAUAAAGCAUGGUUAUAGAAAAGGUGAUGUGGCGCCUCUCUAUGGUCUCCAUUUAUAUUUAUUUUUUUCUCAAUUUUGGGGAUUUUUUUUCUCUUUAUUAUUUAUUUAUUUUAUUUCAAAUAGUCUAAAAUAAAUUUAGAUUCAAUCAAUCAACUUUUUUUUUUCACCUCCUAUUAUGAUUAUCCUCUUAAUUAGAUACCUUAAUAUGCAUUCAUGUAUAGUCUUUGGGUAUCCUUUUCAUCACUUUUAUAACAUGCACAUGUAUAAAACAUUUCAUGAUCACUCUUCAUUAUUUUCCCCUAUAAAAUGUUACUAUAUGCUUUGAUUGUUCUUUGUAGGAUAUAUAAAAAGACAUACUGGAGGAAUAAAAAUAGAUCAAUGGAAGGUGAGGAAAAAGAGAAAUGGCUCGUAAGUAAAAUUAUAGAAAUCAACUUUAACAUGUUAUCUGCUAUUGUAAUUUUUUUUCCCUUUUUACUAUUUCUACUACAAUUGUUUACUAGAUUAUUUACGAUUUUCUUUUCUGUUUGUUGAGGGUAUUAUGAUUUGAAGAUGAUAUAGCAUAGAGAGUUGUGUAUGUAAUAUGUACUAUUUUCUUUAGGCCCUAUUUUGUUGAAGUUUCUUUUUGACGUUCCUACUGUACUGAUCUAUUAAAAAUAAUGUAAGGUGGGGGCACAUUCUUCAAAAGACAGAUAAGGAGAAUUGAUUCUGAGUUUCUAUCAAUUUGGUACAAAAAUCAACUUUAAAUUUAUUUGAGAUUUGCAAAUCAACAUUUUUAAUCGUUUCUUAAUAUUUAUUUUGAUGCAAGCAAAUAUUCAUAUUCGUUAGAGUUUAUCAAGAUUAUAUUGCUUCUACAAUUUUUUAUUGGGAAGCAUAGAAUUGAAAUAUGAACAUUUUUAGAGCCCGUUUGGAUAAGAUUAAAAAAAUAGCUUUUUCGCUUAAGUGAUUAAAAGCUUAAAAUAAGUGCUUAUAAAUUAAGCAGAUAAGUGUUUGGAUAAAGUUGUUGAAACUGGAAAAAAGUUGUUCAUGCGUCUGGUAAACAAAUGAUGUUAAUCACUUUUUUGUUGUUAAAAUGACUUAAAUGUCCUUAAAGUUGUUAACACCAUAAAUAAGGUAAAUUAUUUAUAAUUUUUAAUUUUAAAAUAAAUUUUUUGAACAAACCUCCGAUUAAUGAUGGAUUUGAUGAAAACAAAGAAGAAAGAUGAAGAGGAAAUUGGAGGAAAAAAAUGAAGCAAAGCGGCAAAGAGAAAAAAAAACUAUAUAUUUAAGGGCUACAAUUUUAGGAUAUUGUUGGAAUUGAAGGAAAAUAGAAGGGAUAAAAAGAUAAAUAUUUUGGUCAAACCUAAAAGAAUUUUAAUCUAAAAAGCAAAAAGUUGGGGUACCAACUUCUCACAUUUUGGUUCUUUUAAUCAGUUUUUAGCUUUUUUUAAACACUUUUUAGUUUUACCAAACACCUUUAAAAACUAAAAAAAGGAUUAAAAGCUGAUUUGACCAGAUUUUAAUCCUAUUCAACCGGGCUCUUACGCUAAUUUCUGAUCUUCUUUAAUUUUCAGAUUCAAAAGACAAAAAGUUUCAGAUUUGUUUAGAAGUAUCAUUUAUCUAUUCAUUACUUUAUUCAUGUAUCAGUUGGAGAUACUGCCAUAUUAUCUUAAUUUAUCUAAUAUAAUUUUGUGUGAUGUACGAUAAUUAUUGUUCAUUAUUCUUUGUUUCUUUCUCUUUAGAAUGUAAGACCAGUUUAGUUUUUAAUCACAGAUGAAUUAGAUAGGAUUCUUCAUAUAAACUUUUGAAGUGUGCUCUUUUUAUUUUGUGCUGAAUUCAUAUGAAAUAGCAACUACCUAACCAUUUAAAGAUAAAUAAAAUAAUUUUUUUGUUCUAAAAUUAAGUACGUCCAAAAAUAGAGGUUACUCCAUAUUUAUGAUUUAAUAAAACUCAACAUUUUAAAAAAAUUUAUGAAAAUAAUGAAAUAUAUUUUCAUAAUGAAAUAAAAUUACCACAAUGAGAUAUGUUAAAAUCCACACUAAAAUAAAUUGAAGUCCAAGAUUUUAAAAAAUAUUUAUUGAAUUGCAAAAGCAAACUUCUUUUACUCAUGUAAAAACUAGAGAUUAAAGAACUUAUAAAUAACUUUGAUAUAAUAUAAAAUCAGAAAAUAGAGAAGUGAUACGUCACCUUACAUAGUAGGAGUUCUAUUGUUCCUUUUUUAAUCUUUCUUUUUAAAAUUGAUGCUCUUCUUCAAAUUUAUGAUAAUUUUUUUUUUUAAAUACAUGCUACUAUUGAAAAGUCUAAAGACUACCUUAGGUCUCUACAUAAUUACCCUUUAAUAAUUUUUAUAACUCCUCAAGAGUUAAAUGAUAUUCAUUAUUUAUUAUUUAAUCACAAUUAAGUUUUUAUUCUUUGACAAUUAAAAUAAUUUAAAAAUAGUGACAUAAUCUUAUAAUGAUUUGUUUGUUGAAAUAUUAAUAUUAAUGUUCUUCAAUACUAUUAUUAUGAAUUUGUAAUUUUAUUUCUAUUUGAUUAGAAAAUAGACAAGUUAUUAUUUGCUUUGUAUUAUUAUUGACAUGUUUGUGUUGUUUAGAAAAGUGAUGUGACAUCUCUUAAUUUAUGGUGAAUUUCAAAAAAAAAGAUACAUGUCACAAUUGAAAAGUCUAAAAACUACCUCAUUAAUCUCUACAUAAUCAUCCUUUAAUUAUUUUUAUAACUCCUUAAUAGUUAAAUGAUAUUUAUUACUAUUUAUUAUUUAACCACUAUUACUUUUUGGUCCUUUGAUAAUUAAAAUAUUUAGAAAUGGUGAUAUAAUUUUGUAACGAAUUUUUUAUUGGGAUAUUAAUAUCGAUGUUAUUCAACAUUAUUAUUACGGUCUUGUAAUUUUGUUUUAAAUUUGGUUAAAAAAUAGAUAAGUUAUUAUUUACUUUGUAUAAUUGUUGACAUGUUUUUGUUGUUUUUCAUAUUUUAACUUGCAUAUAAUUUAAAAAAAAAUAAAAAACUUUUAUGAGAAUAUUAUGUAUCUAAUUUGUAUAAUCUUGUGUUAAAUGGACCAUAUGGAGGACCAAUAUAAAAAAAAAAAGAAAAAAAAUUUAGUAGUUCCUCAUAUAAAAUGACUGAGUUUCGAGAUAUAAUUUAAGGAAAAAUAUCUUUUUUUCUCCACAAACCUUUAUGCGGUUUGCAUAGGCUUAUGCAUAUUUGUUCUUAUUAUGAAGUCUUUCUCUUAUUAUAAAAUUCUCUCUUCAAUUAAUAUUUAUAUAUUUUGAGACUUACCAUAAUUUAAGCAUGUGAUUUUUCAAAAAUUAAAUAGUAUUGAGUGAUUGAAUAAAAAUUUGUGGUGCAUGAAUUCCCAUGAUAUGUCUACAUCAUCUAUUAAAAUAAAUUGUAAACAAUGUAAUGAAUUUAACACAUUAAAUUAAAUUUCUCUGAAUUUAAAAAAUUAAAAGAAGUCUUAACACAUUCUUUAAACUUGGAUUUCACAAAUUUUAUAUAUUUAAUAAAUGAUAUUAUUGUUGUGCAAAGAGCGGUCCAUUUCACUAGUUAACUAAUAAAAAGAAGUAUAAAUUUUAGACGUUAGAUGAAAGCAUAUAAUCCGAAGGUCAGUUGAAGAAUCAUUGCAAGAGAAAUUUUUUGUCUCAGGUAAAUCAAAAAAUUAAAAUUUUUAAUAUAUUUUUAUAAAUGGAUUCGUUGGCAUAUAUUUGUGUGAAUUUAAUAUUUCAUGUUAAUUUAGGUAUUAGAGAAAAGCACAUAAUCUGAAGAUCAGUUGAAGAAUCAUUGCAAGAGAAUUUUUUUGCCUCAGGUAAAUCGAAAAUUAAAAUUUUUGUAUGUUUGUAUUAAUGGAUUCAUUAGCGUGGAUAUAUUAUUUUAUGUCAAUAGAAAUUAUUUAAAGAUCUAACAAAAUAAGAACUAAAUUAUGAUUUUUAAGAAGCUCAAUAUACCGAUAAUUUUUUGUGACCAUGACCAUGACCAUGACGGCUACUAUGAAGUGUAAGUUCGGCGGUCACUAUAAAGUGUAAGUUCUUUUUUCUACUUUUAAAUGUAUGCCAAGAUCGAAAUCAAUUUGUGAACCAUAAGAAUAGUGGCCACUAUGAAGUGUAAGUUCUUUUCUUUUUUUAACUCUUGAUUUACGAAGGAUGAGUAUGUUAUAUUAAAAUGAUCGAGGAGCUAUUAAAAUAUACAAAAUUUAGAAAUUUUUUAAAGUAAAGAAUAAAUUAAAUGUAAUAAUUGGAAAAGAAUGAGAAGACAAAUUACAAAAUCAAAGAAAAAAGAUAUUGAAUAACAAGAAAGGAAAUACAAAGGAAAAGGAAUAAUGGGAAGAAAAAGAAAUUAAAGGAGAAAGAAAAUUCUAAAAGUACUAAGCAAAUAAUGAAACAUAAAAAAAAAUGAAAUGAAAUGUUAUAAUGUAGAUAUCUUAAGUUACGUUACUUUUAGUUUCUUUUUAAUCAUUUCUCUUUUUAUUUCUUUAUUUGACAUCUAAAACAGAAAAAAAAACUAUGAAUAUAUAUACCGAAAGAUCGAAAUUGAUUUGUUUACAUAAAUAAAUUCAUUAAAAUAUAUCUGUAUCAAUGAAUUUGAUCUUUUUAUACUUGUGAAUAUAAUAUUUUCUUCAAAUUUCUAAACCUUAGUUUGCCUAUUCAGAGAAAAUAGGAAUCCUACUUUUAACUAUACGUAUUGACAAUCGGAAUCAAUGGCCUUGGCUGUCGCUGGCCAGCCUUCGGUGACGAAGAUUGGUCAAGAUGAUACAACAUUAACAAAACCCACUUUUGCAAACAUUCUACAAUCAGCUACCAUUCCUAACAUGCAGCUUCCAUUGAAAGAAAUAUCCUAUUUGCAUGGAGAACCACAUAUUAUUUGGGAAGAAGAGAAGGUCAAUCAAAUGAUUAUUAAGGAAGAUCUACAAUAUGCAGUAAUUGACAAAUUCUCCUAUGGUUGGCCUAAUAUUCAAGAUCUACGACGCUUAAUCCCAAAGCAAUAUGAGUUGAAGGGAGAAGUCAAUAUUGAUCUAUUUAGUAAUCGACAUAUGUUAAUAAGAGCAACGAAGAUUGAGGAUUAUGUACACCUCUUAUCCAAACCCCAAUUCUAUAUUACAAAGAAUUAUUGGUCAUAUCUGAUGCAAACUUUGAAAUGGGAUCCAAUGUUCAACCCUGAGGAAGAAACCACUACUGCAGUGGCAUGGCUAUCAUUUCCAUCUCUAUCACCGAAUUUUUUUACAAGAGAGGCAAUCUUUUCUUCGACAGCUACUGUUGGGAAGCCUUUAUAGGUAGAUCUAGCUACACAGAACAAGACUAGACCAAGUUGCGCAAGAGUGAAGGUGAAAGUUGAUCUGCUAGGAGAAUUUCCUGAAAGGAUUACUAGUGGGAUGAGAAAGAAAACCAGAGAAGUUGUAGAGAAGUGGAUUCAUAUCAAAUAUGAUUAUGUGCCCAAGUACUGUAAGGAAUGCAAAUUACAAGGACAUAAUGAGAACGAAUGUUUUGUCAUUUAUCUUGAAUUAUAUCCAAAGAAGGACAAUUAAGAGGGGGAAGAACACGAUACUAUGAAAUCAUAGAAGGGUGAUUAGAAGAAUAAGGAAAAGGUGGCAGACAACAGUAAAGGCAAAGACACGAAAACACAAGAAUUUCAUAAACAAAAGAGAAAAUAGUUGAAAAGAAGAUGGAACAAUAGAAAGAGGUAAGAAAGAAGACGGAACCAGAAAGAAAACACUUCAAAAGAGGUGGAUGUUUCAGUAAAUAAUAAAUUUGAUGCUUUGGAAGAGAAAGAUGUUGAUGAUGACAGAGAUAUCAACAGACCAGAAUGAUGGAAAAAAUGACAAAGUACUUAACAUUUAGGAAGAACAACGCACAACCAGUAAGGAUGGUAAAAAAGGACAGAUACAAGAAGAGUCACAAAGCUUGGUUAAAGAUCAGGAAAAAGACAAUGUUGAACAGCGGACAGGUGAUUCGGCUAGAAUUCAAGAUGCAGAAGAGAUUGCUGAUGUGGAUUGUAAAGAUCAUGAUGUAGAAGUGGCAGACAAUGAAUUGCAGAUCAUAGCUGAGUUUGAAGAUGAGGUUCUUAAAAUAACACAGAAAGAGAAACAACAGAAACAUGAUCACGAAGAAGAUGUAGAUAUGGAUGCUAACAUUGAACAAAUAGGGAGGGAUAGAGAUUUAUCUCUAAUACAAAUUAGUCAGUUGAAAGGGAAGAACAGAAAAGUUUAUAAGAAAACUGGUAACAAGUCACAAAUCAAUACAAGGAGUAAGUCGGGUCUUGUUAAAACUCAAAGUUCAUUUGAGAGAUUAAUAAAUCUUCAUAAAAAAUACCAUUAUUCUUACAUUGCAUUAUUAGAAUCUUUUCAAAGUCCAUCAGAGUUGGAGGAGUACAGAAGCAGGCCAGGGCUUACACAUGCUAAAGUAAAUUGUUCUGAUAAGAUCUGGAUCUUUUGAAAAAUAAUUGGGAAGAAAUUGGUACCAUAGAUUCUACACAACAUUUAAAAAUGGAGUAUAAACUUAGAGGACCAACUAAUUCUUUUAAAGUAACUGUAGUGUAUGCAAGAUACAGUCACUUAAAGAGAUUAGAGUGGUGAUCUUGGGCAUAUUUAUAUGCUCAAAUCACCAAUAUGCACACAUAUUUAGACUUAGUUCAAGAACUUUUGUAUGAAUUCUUAAGUAUAAUUUAGCCUUUAUUCCGUUUCGUGCCUAAUGGAUAUGAUUAGUACUUUCAGGUAAAAAAUUAUUGAAGAAUUGUGCGCAUUUGGAUACAACGAUGAUAUGGAAGGAUUGAAGAAAUGUAAGGGAGUGAAAUAAAGGUAAAAUACGGAAGAUGGAAAGUAAGAAUCCUCAUUUGAAGACACUCCACGUCGUGUUGACCAACAAAAUAGCAAUGGUCAAAUUCCAGUGAAGGUCCGCAAAACCACCGCAUCCCAGAGUAGUUCCACUUAUCAUAUUUUGCGACCUAAAAGUUUAGCACAUCGCGAAGGAUGAAUAUUUUACAAUUUUCCCAAUCCAGUGGCUCACCGCGAUAGUGGUGCGUUGCGGUGAGGAUACAUUUUACAAUUGUCAAGGAAUACUUGAGCUCCGCGAUUGCCUAGAUUUUAAUGAAAAAUAGCAAUUGAAGGCAUGGCCUGACGCGUCGGGUGGAAGAAUUGGGAAUAUUUUAAGUGUUUUGUCCCAUCUAUAAAAGGAAAAAUUCAAGAUAAUUUUGGGGACGUUUGGUGAAGCAUAGGAGCGGCGGAAAAGCAGAAAUUUCUCUCUUUUAGGGUUCUUAAAUAUUUUUUUAAAUUUCUUUACUGGAAGACUUGUUGGGGGUAUGAUUUAUUACUUAUUUUGGAUGAUGAAUUCAAACAUGAGUAGCUAAAAACCCUAUUUCUGGGGUUGAGGCUAAGAACAUGAUUACUCUUUAAUAUUCUUAUUCAUAGUUUCUUUUUGGAUUAUCAUCUGGGUUGUUCUUAAUUUCUUGAGCUUACUAUUUUAAUAAUUGGCCAUCAUUAGAAUAAAUCUAUAUUUCUAUAUGCAUCCGGGAGGAGAAUCAUAGGAUAGAACGAAGAAAUUAGGGAGCAAGGCUCUUAUUCUUUUAUGAAAUAAAGGAUUUGAAUUAGCAUCUAGGAUAGGGAUAUACCUAGAAGCCUUGCUUGGUUCACUUGCAAGAAGACAACAUAAAUCUAGAAGAAUUGUUGUAUCUCUGCCGGAGUUGUAGCUACAACAUUCAAUAGAUAAAAGAUUUGAGGUUGGGAGAUCAUGAUCGUUGCAUAAACCUUGCGAAUCAUCAACCUGAUAACCAAUUAGAAUGUGAUGAGAAUAGAGAAUUGUAUGAUUGUUCAAAAUACCUCAACCCUGGAAUCAUCUUCAUUAUUGAUUACAACCGUUGCUUUCUUUGCUCUAGUCGAUACUAAUUAUUUCUUGUUUAGUAAUUUACAUUUUAUUUAUAGAAUUAAAACCAUCUUGAUACCAUUAAGCACUUAAUACCUAAUUGUCUUAAACUAAAGAUUAAAUAAAUUUCUAGUUUAUUGAUCCUCGUGGGAACGAUAUUUGACUGUCUAAGUCAUUAUAUGACUUGUACGAUCGCGUACACUUGCGUGUGCAUAGAGACGCAACAAGUUUUUAGCGCCAUUGCCGGGGAUCAAAUUGAAUUAGUAAAUUGUUUAAUUUUUUUUUGAUAAUAACUUUAAGUAUUAACAACUUGAUCUUAGUGGUUGAAUUUUUGCAGGUUUAGCUGAACAUUGGACUGGCUAGGGAUAACGAGUUAGUAUAGCCCUUUGCAGAACCAGAAGUAAUUUUCAUCAAAGGCGAAGAGCUCAAUACUACAUUCAAUAGGGAUAGAUGGCUAAAAUACGAGAUCCUAUUAUUGGAAAUGUUCCAGCUCCUGUUAUUCCAGUUAUUCCUAUUCAACCAGUCACAAGACCUGUUCUUGAGGAGACAAUCCCACUUACAAAUCUCGUGACUAACAGCAUUCAGAAGCCUAAAAAAGAAGGUCGGUGGGAAUUGAAACAAAAAAUGGUGCAAUUAUUAAAAUCGACGGGGGAAUUUCACGGACUUUCACACGAGGAUCCACAACAGCACUUACAGACCUUCUUGGAAAUAAGCGAUACAUAUAUUCCUGAAGAUGUGAAUGUUGAUUAUAUCAAAUUGACAUUCUUUCCCUUUUCUCUAAUGGGGGAAGCAAAGAGAUGGUUACAUGCUGAACCACAUCAAUCCAUCACUUCAUGGGAAGAUUAUGCUCGGAGGUUCCUCAUUCAGUUUUUUCCAUCCCAGAAGAAUGCAUGAUUGAGGAGUGAGAUAUUGAGUUUCAGACAAAAAGAUGGAGAAAAUCUCUACCAAGCUUGGGAGAGAUUCAAGGGCAUGCUCAGAAAUUAUCCUCAUCACCAUCAAUCGAAUGAUUUUUUGGUUCACACAUUUAUAGAAAGCCUUGAGUCUAAUACAAAGAUCCUCUUGGAUUCAGCAGCAGAGGGCCAAGAUUUGGAGAAAAUAUAUGAAAACUGUAUACCUUGCUAAAUUGAAUUGUACAAGGGAAUCCUGAUUGGCAUGCAGACUCAAGGAGUGUUCCCAAGAAGGUUGCAGGGGUUUUGGAGGUUGAUCAGUUCACUGCAUUACAAGCACAGAUUGCAGCAAUGCAGAAUAAUAUGACUACUCAGCUUAACAACUUGAAGUUAGGUGCAACACAACCAGUUGCCACAGUAAAUACAGUUCAAUAGGAAUAUUCAUGGUGUGAAGUUUAUGGAAGUGAAGAGCAUAAAACAGAUGCAUGUUCUGUUAAUCCAGAUUCAGUCAACUAUGUGGGGAAUGCAAACCGCCAGGUUCAAUAGAAUUUUGGCAGUACGUAUAAUCCAAAUUGGAGGAACCACCCUAAUUUCUCAUGGGGUGGAAAUCAGGCACAGAAUACAAAUCAGUAUAAGGGACCAGUACAAUCAAAUCCAUAAUCAGUUCAGAAUAAUCAGGCGACUACUCAUUAUAGUAAUGUGGAGGAGUUGAUUAAAUAGUUUAUGGCUCAACAAGCAUAGGUUGCGGUAGACAUAAAGGAUCAACAGGCACAGUUUGCAGCUGAGUUGAAGAGUCAACAAUUGCUCACAAAAAAUCUGGAGUUGCAGUUGGCUCAAAUUGUAAGAUCACAAAAUAAAAGGCCACUAGGAGUAUUGCCUAGCGAUACUGAGGCUAAUCCUAAACAGGUGAAUGUAGUUAUAACAAGGAGUGGACAUAAAACUAAGGAGACGGUUCAGGAGUAGGAUAAUCCUGCAGUCAUUGUUGACAGUUUGCGAGAGAAUGCAGAAGUAGAAGUCAAGGAAAAAGAGGUAGGUGAAGAGAUUUGUGUGGAGAAGAAGACUAUCCCCUUACCCUUUCCUCAAAGGGCAAGGAAGCAUCAAGAGGAAUCCAGUUUUAAGAAGUUUCUAGAUCUUCUGAAACAAGUUCAAGUAAACCUUCCUCUUGUUGACAUUCUGCAGAGUGUGCCGAAAGAUGCUAAAUACUUGAAGGAUAUUAUUGUACAUAAGAAUCGGUUGACUGAAUAUGCUACAGUUGCACUUACUCAAGAGUGCACAUCUAAAAUUCAAAAUAAACUGCCCACGAAGUUGAAGGAUCCAGGUAGUUUCACCUUGCAGAUUACCCUUGGUCAGACUAUUUGUGCACAUGGAUUGUGUGACUUGGGUGCUAGCAUAAAUCUCAUGCCCACUUCAUGAUACUGGAAGAUGGGUCUUGGGAGUCCCAAACCCACGACUAUUGUGUUGCAGUUGGCAGAUAGUUCACUUGUUAGACCAGAUGGUAUUAUUGAAGAUGUAUUGGUGCAAGUGGGAUCUUUAAUCUUUCCGGUGGAUUUUGUGAUUCUUAACUUUGAGGCUGAUCUAGUUGUUCCAUUUAUUUUGGGACGACCCUUCUUAGCAAUAGGACAGUCACUUAUUGAUAUGGUAGCUAGAAAAUGACAAUGCGAGCUCACGAUAAAGUAGAGGUUUUUGAUGUGUACAGAGCAUUGAAACUACUAGCCAUAUAUGAGGAGUUGUCUUCUAUAUCGAUUGUUGAUCUUGCUCUGGAUUGGUAGCUGCUUUUGUCUGAUGAUCCAUUAGAGCGAACUUUGAUGGAUUAUGAUCUGUAUGAAGAUGUGGAAGCAUUGGAAUUGGUCCAGGUUAUAAAUUUGGCUAUAAUCGAGACAAACAAAGUAUUGAUUGAGCCUUUGAAUAUACCAAUUGGUCCACCACGCUCUUAACUUGGAGCUUAAGGUUCUUCCUCCUCACUUGCAAUAUUUUUUUCUUGGUGAUCAAGAUACCUUACCUGUUAUUUUAUCUAUAGGAUUAUCAGAUGUACAAGUAAAGAAAGCUGUAGCGGUUCUCAAGAGGAGAAGAAAGGCGAUUGGCUGGCAGAUGUCUGACAUUUUAGGAAUCAAUCCAGCAUUUUGCAAGCAUAAUAUUUACAUAGAAGAGGGGUACAGACCUAGAGUACAGCAACAACGAAGGUUGAAUCCUGUGAUGAAGGAAGUGAUCAGGAAAGAAGUUAUCAAGUGGUUAAAUAGUGGUAUUGUUUAUCUAAUUUCCGAUAGCAAAUGGGUGAGUUCGGUGCACUGUGUACCCAAGAAAGAAGGAAUGGCAGUAGUGACCAAUGAUGAUAAUGAGUUAUUUCCCAUAUAUACAGUGACCGGUUGGAGAAUAUGUAUAGAUUAUCAGAUGUUGAAUAAAGCAACUCGUAAAGAUCACUAUUCAUUUCCCUUCAUUGAUCAAAUGCUGGAUAGAUUGGCGGGGCAAGAGUAUUAUUGUUUUCUGGAUGGGUACUCUGUCUACAAUCAGAUAAGCAUAGCAUCGGAAGACUAAGAGAAGACCACGGUCACUUGUCCAUACGGUACAUAUGCGUUCAGACGCAUGCCCUUCGGCUUAUGUAAUGCACCUGCUAUAUUUUAGAGGUGUGUGAUGACGAUAUUUUUAGACAUGGUGGAAGAAUUUGUGGAGGUAUUCAUGGAUGAUUUCUCUGUGUAUGGUAAUUCAUUUAAAAAGUUUUUGCAAAAUCUCGACAAAGUUCUAGCUCGAUGCGAAGAAACAAACUUGAUGUUGAAUUCAAAAAAGUGCCAUUUUAUGGUUGAGGAAAGAAUUUUCUUAGGCCACAAAGUGUCAUGCAAAGGUAUGGAAGUGGACAAAGCAAAGGUGGAAGUGAUUGAAAAGUUUCCUCAUCCAGUCACAGCCAAGGGAGUGCGGAGUUUUUUGGGACAUGCUGGGUUCUAUAGACAAUUCAUUCAAGAUUUCUCAAAGAUUGCAAGUCCCAUGUACAAAAUAUUAGAAAAAGAAGCCAAGUUCGAGUUCGCGGCUAAUUUCCAUGAAGCUUUUGAAAAGCUUAAGAAGAAGUUGACGGAAGCACCUAUUUUGAUCACACCAGAUUGGGAGUUACCUUUUGAGCUGAUGUGUGACGCUAGUGACAUUACAGUGGGAGCAGUGUUAGGUCAGAGAAAAGAGAAGGUAUUUUGAUCGAUCUACUAUGGUAGCAAGGUGCUGAAUGAUGCUCAAGUUAACUACACAGUUACAGAGAAAGACAUAUUGGAUGUGGUAUAUGCAUUCAACAAGUUUCGAUCUUACUUAGUUGGUACCAAGGUCAUUGUUCAUACAGACCAUGCUUCCGUUAAGUAUCUUGUGAACAAAAAGGAUGCAAAUCCACGACUAAUUAGGUGGAUUCUUCUACUUCAAGAAUUUGAUCUUGAGGUGCGAGAUAGAAAGAGAGCUGAAAAUCAAGUUGCUGAUCAUUUGUCAUGGCUGGAAAAUCGAGACCAUAUUGUGGAUGACUUUCUGAGUAUUAAGGAAGAUUUUUCUGCUGAGAAGUUAUUGUCAUUAGAUGCAGUUGUGUUCCCAUGGUAUGCUAACAUUGUGAACUUGAUAGCUUGUGAGGUGUACCCUCCCGAAAUCACCAUACAACAAAGAAAGAAAUUACUCCAUGAUUAUCGUGCUUACAUUUGGGAUGAACAGUACCUUUUCAAGCAGGGUCCAGAUGGAGUGAUUUGUAGGUAUAUUUCAGAGGCUGAAUUCUCAAAGGUUUUACAAGAUUGCCACUCAUCUCCAUAUGGUGGACAUUAUGGGGGAGAGAGGACUGCAAGAAAAGUGUUGCAAUCAGGUUUUUUCUGGAUGACUCUAUUUAGAGAUGCAGUGGCUUUUGUAAAGAAUUAUGAUCAAUGUCAAAGGUUGGGUACUAUAUCUAGGCUUCAUGAGAUGCCCCUCAAUAAUAUUGUAGAAGUAGAAGUCUUUGAUGUUUGGGGGAUCGAUUUCAUGGUCCCAUUCCCACCUUCGAAAGGUAAUCUAUACAUUAUUAUAGCGGUUUAAUAUGUCUCUAAAUCGGUGAAAGCUAUGGCGAGUCCGACUAAUGAUGCAAGAGUGGUGCUGAAGUUUUUGAAGAACAUAUUUUCCAGAUUUGGUACGCCAAGAGCAAUAAUUAGUGAUGGAGGUACGCACUUUAUCAAUACCUGGUUCAAAAAUCUUCUUGCUAAGUAUGGUGUUAGGCACAAGGUUGACACUGUGUACCAUCCUCAAACGAGUGAACAAGUAGAGGUAUCCAAUCGGGAGAUUAAGCAAAUACUUCAGAAAACCGUGAAUGGUCAGAGAAAAGGUUAGGCGGAGAAGCUAGAUGAUACAUUUUGGGCAUAUAGAACAGCGUACAAGACGCCUAUUGGGACAUCUCUAUAUCGCUUGGUGUAUGGUAAGGUGUGUCAUCUUUCAGUAGAGUUGGAACACUAAGCAUAUUGGGAACACCAAGCAUAUUGGGAGGUGAAGAAGCUGAACUUUGAGAUGACUGUUGCGGGGGAAAGAAGGUUAUUGCAACUGAAUAAGCUUGAGGAGUUUAGACUCCACGCCUAUGAAAAUACCAAGCUUUACAAGGAAAAGACCAAAAGAUGGCAUGACAAGCAAAUUCAAGUUAGGGAAUUUGAACCUGGACAACUUGUGUUGUUGUUUAAUUCACGGCUUAAGUUGUUUCCGGGUAAAUUACGAAUGAAGUGGUCUAGACCUUUUGAAGUGGAGCGUAUGACACCCCAUGGAGCUGUGGAGUUAUGGAAUAAAUAGAAGACAGAGAAGUUCCUUGUGAAUAGACAGCGUGUAAAGCAUUAUUGGGCAGAUCAUCCGGAUAAGCACAAGGAAUCCAUCACUUUUGCUGAUGAAUGACGAUGAGCUAAGUCGUGCCACAACGUAAAAUAAGGCGCUAUGUUGGAGGCAACCCGCACAUGUAUUGUAAUAGGUAGUUUAUUUUUUAGAUUGUAAAAUCAAAACGAAAAGAAAAAUACAAAAAGAUGAGUUGUGCCACGACCAAAACUAAGGUGCUGAGUGGAAGGCAACCCACUUUUACUUACAAUUUUUGUUGUUUUUGUUUAAGAUUGCAGGGAAUUUCAAAGUGAAAAUGAGGAUAUUGCUACAAUUGAGGAAAGCAAUCAGGUUUGCAAAAUAAUAUGUUUAAGUGGGAAUUUUCUCAGGUAAGAAAAAAAUGAAAAUUACAAAAGAAAAUCUAAUUUUGAAGAAUGGCACAACGCGGAACUGGGUAUUUUGAGAAUUGUCAAAUUCCAGGAAGGAUCUGCGAUUUCCAUCGCGAUGCGAAGAAGGGUAAUUUGACAAUUGUCAAAUUCCACUAGCCUGUCGCGAUUUUCAGCGCGAUGCGUAACUUGGAAAAUUGACAAUUGUCAAUUUACAAUGUCUUAACGUGAAAGUUAGCGCAUCGCGGUAGGUAGUUAAAUGGCAAUUGGCAUUUUCCAGUAGGUCUACACGAUACUACCGCAUCGUGGAGGGGGUUAAAUCGAAAAUAAAUUUUGAAUUUAAGCUAACCCGACCCGACCCUCCAUAAAUAUCCCCUCAAAACCCUAAACCCUCUUAUUUCCCCCUCAAGCGCCGGAUUCUCAACCUUUCUCCUAAAACCUUCUAAAAUUUUCCCAAAUUCUCAUCCCUUUUUCAACCUUUAAGGAAUAAUGGAACCACAACCAAGCAAGGGGAAGGCAAAGGCAAUUAGUGGAGUAGUUGAUCCUUCACCUAAACAUCCGACUAUUAGUGGAGUAGGACACUAAGGGCAAGCUUAUGGUUUUUUUACUAGCAUGUACGAAUUCUUUGUUGAGAGCGAGUGAUUUGAUGUUGAUACUCUUCUAUUUUUGCAUAGAUAUCAGUGUGAGUUAAUAUGGGGAAAUUUUCUUGAGUGGGGAUGUAGGCAGAUGAAAGCCGGGUUACUUAUUGAGUUUCUUUGAUUGAGUUUGCCGACAUGUUAGAAAUUCAUUAUUGAGACAAAAAAAAAUUGUACUAAAUUGUCUCAUAUUGCUAAAAAUUAUUUUGACAAGAUGAUGUAAGAAUACACUAGUACAAAGUGUAAGUACCCAUUGCAACAUAACUUUGAGAUUGUGAUGUAAAGAGGAAGUAAUAAUGUUUUUGAAUUCAUAUGUUCAAGGACGAAUAAGGUUUUAAGUGUGGGGUGGUGAUCUUGGGCAUAUUUGUAUGCUCAAAGCACCAAUAUGAACCAAGAUUUAGACUUAGUUCAAGAACUUUUGUAUGAAUUCUUAAGUAUAAUUCAGCCUUUAUUCUGUUUCGUGCCUAAUGGAUAUGAUUAGUACUUUCAGGUAAAAAAUCAUUGAAGAAUUGUGUGCAUUUGGAUACAACGAUGAUAUGGAAGGAUUGAAGGAAUGCAAGGGAGUGAAAUAAAGCUAAAAUACAGAAGCUAGAAAGUAGGAAUCCUCAUUUGAAGACACACCGCGUCGCGCUGACCAACAAAAUAGCAAUGGUCAAAUUCCAGUGAAGGUCCGCAAAACCACCGCGUCCCAGAGCAGUUCCACUUAUCAUAUUUUGCGACCUGAAAGUUUAGCACGUUGGAGGAUGAACAUUUCACAAUUGACCCAAUCCAGUGGCUCACCGAGAUAGUGGUGCGUUGCGGUGAGGGUACAUUUUACAAUUGUCAAGGAAUAAUUGAGCUCCACGAUUUUCUAGAUUUUAAUGAAAAAUAGCAAUUGAAGGCAUGGAGCGACGCACCGGGAGGAAGAAUCGGGAAUAUUUUAAGUGUUUUGUCCCAUCUAUAAAAGGAAAAAUCCAAGAUAAUUUUGGGGACAUUUGGUGAAGCAUAGGAGCGGCGGAAAAGCAGAAAUUUCUCUCUUUUAGGGUUCUAAAACAUUUUUUUUAAAUUUCUUUACUGGAAGACUUAUUGGGGGUAUGAUGUAUUACUUAUUUUGGAUGAUGAAUUCAAACAUGAGUAGCUAAACACCCUAUUUCUGGGGUUGAGGCUAAGAAGAUGAUUACUCUUUAAUAUUCCUAUUCAUAGUUUCUUUUUGGAUUAUCAUCUUGGGUUGUUCUUAAUUUCUUGAGCUUACUAUUUUAAUAAUUGACCAUCAUUAGAAUAAAUCUAUAUUUCUAUAUGCAUCCGGGAGGAGAAUCAUAGGAUAGAACGAAGAAAUCAGGGAGCAAGGUUCUUAUUCUUUUAUGAAAUAAAGGAUUUGAAUUAGCAUCUAGGAUAGGGAUAUACCUAGAAGCCUUGCUUGGUUCACUUGCAAGAAGACAACAUAAAUCUAGAAGAAUUGUUGUAUCUCUGCGGGAGUUGUAGCUACAACAUUCAAUAGAUAAAAGAUUUGAGGUCGGAAGACCAAGAUCAUUGCAUAAACCUUGCGAAUCAUCAACCCGAUAACCAAUUAGAAUGUGAUAAGAAUAGAGAAUUGUAUGAUUGUUCGAAAUACCUCAACACUGGAAUCAUCUUCAUUAUUGAUUACAACGGUUGCUUUCUUUGCUUUAGUCGUUACUAAUUAUUUCUUGUUUAGUAAUUUAUAUUUCAUUUAUAGAAUUAAAACCAUCUUGAUACCCUUAAGCACUUAAUACCCAAUUGUCUUAAACUAAAGAUUAAAUAAAUUUCUAGUUUAUUGAUCCUCGUGGGAACGAUAUCUAACUGUCUAAGUCAUUAUAUGACUUGCACGAUCGCGUACACUUGCGUGUGCAUAGAGACACAACAUUAUGGGAAGAUUUGGAGCAAGUUGCCUCUAAUACUAGUAAUCCAUGGCUUGUUGGGGGUGAUUUUAAUGUUAUUUUGGAUGAUUCUGAAAAACUUAGAGGUCUUCCGGUGACACAACAGGAGACUCUUGAUUUUGCUCAAUGUAUGAAUAAUUGUGUAUUGAACGAAUUAAGAUUCACACGAAGCAGAUUCACUUGGUGGAAUGGAAUAAUUCAAGAGGAUUGCAUUUUUAAGAGGUUAGAUAGGUAAUUAUGAACUUUUACAGGCUAUGCCUAAUUGUGAAGUGAAUCAUCUUAUCAGGCAAGGUUCUGAUCAUGCACCACUUCAUGUCAUUGGAAAUACUGUACAGGUACAUGUCAAAAAAAAAAAUUUAGGUUCUUGAACUUGUGGACCAAGCAUAAAUAUUUUCAGGGAAUAGUGCAACAAACUUAGAGUGAAAAUUUUCAAGGGUCGCCUUUCCAAAUAGUGCAUGAGAAAUUGAAAAAGAAGAAAUCAGUAUUUGUUGUCUAGAGUAGGGAGACUUUUGGGGGUAUUUUCCAAAAGGUAGAAACUUUGGAGGAUGUAAUAAAAUCAAAGGAAGCAUAAUUUGAGAUACAACCAACUGCAGAAAAUAGAGAGAAGUUGAGUAAAGCAGAGGCAGAUUUAAAAAGAUUGAGGAAAAUAAAGAAAGAGUUUUGGAAACAAAAGACAGGGAUAAAGUGGUUUACUGAUGGGGAUAGAAAUACUAAAUUCUUUCAUUCUUAUGUGAAAGGUAGAAGGAGAAGGCUGCAAGUUACAGAAAUCCAGACAAGACAGAAGGAUAUUAUCAUAUCACCACAGAACAUUGGGGAUGAGGCCAUACAGGUCUUCAUGGAGCAAUUUAAAAAGAACUACGUGACUAAUAAAUAUGAGAUGAUAGGGUGUAUUAACAAAAGUAUUAUAGAUGAGAAAAACAAUAGAAUGGAAAGCUUACCAAACAUAGAGGAAAUUAAGAAGGUUGUUUUUUCUUUAAAUGGGGAAAGUGCGGGAGGAAAAGAUGGUUUUUUAGGGAAUUUUUUUCAGUCUUGCUAGAAUACAGUGGGGGAGUAUAUUACAAAUAUGGUUAAGGCAUUUUUUUAUGGAAGUGAGUUACCAAGGUACAUCACUCACACAAAUCUAGUUCUGAUUCCAGAGAAAGAAGUAGUGAGUACUUCUGGUGAUCUCAGACCUAUCAGUCUUGACACUUUUGUUAAUAAAAUCAUAUCCAAAUUGAUUCAUAUGAGAAUUGUGGAGGUGCUUCCUAAUAUUAUUUCUAGUAAUCAGGCUGUUUUUGUUAAGAGAAGAAGCAUAAAAAAAAAUGUUUUGCUAGCUCAAGAGAUUAUUAGGGAUAUAAAUAGAAAGAAUAAACUACACAAUGUGGUGGUAAGAUUGGGUAUGGCAAAGGCUUAUGAUAGAGUUUUCUGAAAGUACUUGGUAGAGAUAUUGAGAAAAUUUGAUUUUUCUGAAAGGAUAAUUGACAUGGUAGUCAGAAUUAUUAGUAAUAAUUGGAAUUCAGUGCUUUUGAAUGGCCAGUCCUAUGGUUUCUUUUAGUCCUCAGGAGGGUUAAAGCAAGGGGAUACUCUAUCACUUAUGUUGUUUAUUAUUUUAGCUGAAGUGUUAGCAAGAAGUCUAAAUGGCUUGUUUGAGGAUCCAUAUUUUAUAGGAUAUGGAAUGCCUAAGUGGAGUCCUGAUAUUAACCAUUUAUCAUAUGCAAAUGACACUAUUCUCUUUUGCUCUGGACAUGCAACAUUAAUGAAGAAAAUGAUGGCAGGUUUGAGAAGAUAUGAAUUUACCUCAGGUCAAAUGAUUAAUCUUGAUAAAAGUUUUUUUUAUUUGCAUGAUAAGACUCCAAUAAAUAUGGCCAACAAUAUGAAGAGAAUAACUAAGAUAAAUCAAGGUAAGUUUCCUUUCACUUACUUGGGUUGUCCUAUUUUCUAUGGUAGAAAGAAUAAGGCACAUUAUGAGGAGUUAAUGAAGAAGGUGAUGAAGAGGUUAAAUUCUUGACAAAAUAGACUUUUGUCUUAUGGGGGAAGGUGCACUCUUAUUGCACAUAUGUUGCAGUCUAUGCCCAUGUAUAUUUUAUCUACUAUGAACCCUCCUGUAAGUGUAAUUAAUCAAUUACACAAGAUUUUUGCCAAGUUUUUUUUGACGUAAUGCUACUAGAUAAAAAACUAAGCAUUGGGAGUCUUGGGAUCUAAUGUGUUAUCCAAAAAUGAGGGGGGUUUGAAUUUUAGAUCUUUACAUGUGAUAUGUCCAAGGCACUUUACAAAAAUGUGGUGGAAUUUUAGAACUUUCACAUCUUCUAUGUGGAGUUCAUUUAUGUGGAAUAAAUACUGCAUAAAGUUCCAGCCUUUACUGACUAAGGGAAUUGAAGAAUCACAUGUUUGGAGGAAAAUAAUUGCUAUAAGAGAAGAGGUUGAUCAUCUCAUUUGGUGGCAGGUUACAGUUGGGAACUCAAAUUUUUGGUAUGAUAAUUAGACCAACCAUGGUGCUUUAUAUUAUGUGGAAGGAGAGAUUUUUCAAGAUGAAGAAAUAGAGGUGAAGCCCUUUAUCAGAAAUGGAGAGUGGGAUAGGCAAAGGUUAUUAUCAAUGUUAUCGGAAUAGAUGGUGGAGCUAAUUCUUUAGAUAGUAAAGCCUAAGGUUGAAGGGUAUCAUAAUGAUAGACCAUGGUGGAUGGGAAAUACAAAUGAUCAAUUUUUGGUGAAAUCUACCUGGGAGAUAAUCAAGAAAAAAAAAAGAGAAAAGAAGAGAUUUUGAUUAUAUUUGAAAUAAAGGUCUACCUUUCAAAUAUAAUUUCUUCUUAUGGAGAGUAUGGCUUAGAUGGAUCCCUACGGAUGAUAAUUUGAUAAAAAUGAGGAUUUAUUUGGUAUCAAGAUGCUAGUAUUGUGAGGACAAAAAGGAGGAAAUUAUGUCACAUAUUUUAAUAACAGCUCCCAUAGCUUUAAAGUUGUGAAGGCAGUUUGCUUAUUUUGCAAGGACCAGGGUGGACAAUGUACAACUUCAACAGAUGAUUGUGUCAUGGUGGACAAAGGAAUCAACACUAAAACUCAACAGCAUCUGUAAAGCCGUACCAUCCAUAAUCAUGUAGACCUUAUGGAAAAGGAGAAAUUCUCUUUAAAAUGGAGGGUUCAUUUCUUGUAAGGAGAUGAUAAUACAGAUACAAGAAGUGAUAAAGAAACUGACCAAGAAUCUUUAUCCUUGGAUAAAACUCUAGAACUGGACAUGGCCAGAGGUGAUGGACACUAUGAGCACAUACAAACCACAACUUCAUUAUCAUCAAGUGGUAUGAAAAAAGCCUAAGCAUUUACAACUAAAAUACAAUACGGAUGGAGCAUGUAGAGGAAAUUCGGGGAUGAGCUCAUAUGAUUUUUACAUCAGAGAUGAAAGAGGAGACCUGGUAUAUGCAAGAGCUAAGGGAUUGGGACUUGAAAAAAAUACAGAAGAUGAAUCUAUUGCUAUUAAGGAAGCCAUAGAAUACUGCCAUGACAAACUUUAUACAAAGUUCAUCAUAGAGACAGAUUCUCUAAGUCUUAAGCAAGCGAUUCUAAGGUAAUGGAAAAUUCCUUGGGAACUUAUUGGUGCCAUUGAGGAUAUUAGGAUUCUACUUCAGCAAUUACAAGCUACUGUUGCUCAUAUACUUAGAGAAGGCAACUCAGUGGCUGACUCUUUGGCAAAUGAAGUAAUAGAGACACAAGACAUGCAAGAAUACCACUCAUACCAACAGCUAACAGUGAAAACCAGGCGGCUUCUAAACAUUGACAAGGAUCAAAUUCCACAUAUCAGGAUCAGGACAAGGACAAUAGUUUAGCAAUAAUCAACAUAGUAGCAUGCAUAUGUAAAAAUCUAACAGAGUGCAACAGGUAGCAACAAUAACAGAGGAAAUUAAAGAGCAAAGAAAAAAGGGUUUAACAGUAUGCCUGGAAGAUCACCAAAAGGGAGGGAUAGGGAGAUGGUCCAGCAUCUGGAAAGAUGGUCUUUUGUGGACCCAAGACCACCUAACGAAAAACGAAAGGAAGAUUUUAGUUUUGAAAACAUAGAAGAAGAUCUUACAAAUGCAACAUUUCUCACCUGAGAAGAGUGAAGCUGAUAUUAAGAAUUCGACUAAGAUUCACCAUGGAUUUAGCUUGAACACCACCCAAAGAAGAAGGGAACAGAGCUUCGAGUUCCAAUGGCAGCAAUCAGGGACCACUCUUGAAGAUGACAAUGUCAAGGAAAAGUGGAAAAUGAUGUGUAUAGUUGUCUUUAAACUUAUCUAUAUUAGACAAAAAGGAGUCUUUUCAGCUCCCUUGUCUUGUGGAUCAGCUCUUGGAUCCGAUUGUGUGUAAUUUUAAGCAUUUAGGCCCUUUUAAAUAAAAAGACCUUAAAGGCC